AAAACCAAGAGUUUGAUAAACAAAACCAAGACUACAGUCCACACGCUUAAGGCUAAACGAACCUAAAACAGAAUACAUGGACUACAAGUUUUGCAAUGCAAUAACCCGGAAGGAUAUGGAGUAAAAUUAGAUGGCUCAAAAUGGUUAUCUCCAUUACCUGGGGUCCAUUAUACAAGGAGGGAGAAAAAGGGGAGGACAUUAAUCAUAGAAUCAAAGUAUCAGCAUCAAAAUAGAAGAGCACAAGCACAGCGAAAUAUAUUUAAUUGAAGCACACUAUACUCUAUAGUAGUGAAUGCUAGGCUUGAAAAAAUAGGAAGCUAAAAAUGACA
rnacentral:misc_RNA from 1 species